AGGCAGGAUCAACACGUUCUUCAUUGUUCUCCCGGCUCCCGGGAGGUGAUCUGGAGGCUGCCUUUUCCAGAGAGCUGUCUUUAGCCCGAGAAAGAAGCCACUAGAAGCAAGAAUUGCUUUUGUUUUUUUCUCCCCUGUUAAUGGGGUGUGUUCUGGGUUGCUGGCAAACACCUCGACUGGGGUCUAUGGCUACAAUAUUGAAACAGUUAAAACAUUGUGAUUUGGAUUUGCUGAGCUAGUGUUCCCUCUAAUAGCAAUGAAAGGAACAUUAAGUAAACAUAUGUCCUAAUUAUGUGAGUGGGUGUGUUUCCCCUACCUUUUGAAUUUUCCCCAUGCUUGUGAUCGGUAGGGUACAAUUACUAAUGAAUAUUCUUAUGUUAUGGAUGCUAAGCUUUAAUAUAUAUUUUAGGCAAACUUGGGGAAACCUGUAGUUAGACUUUAAAAAAAAAACCCAGCAUGGAGGUGAGCUCCAUUUUAAUUAUCGAUUCCUUUGAUGGCGGAUAAAUCUCGGGUCUGCAUUCAGCCCAGCUGCCUGUCAGCCAUAUGUCUCCAGGAUCCAUUCAGUUCAUGGGAUUCAUUCUGCUUUCCACGCGGUUUGAGGUUUUGUCAAAAGAGCGGCAGAGGAUUGCAGCAAACCUGUAGAUUCAUUCUGGGUGUCACGAAUGUGCGUGUCAUCCUAAGAUGUGCCCUGAACUUUUCUGUUCAUUUUGAAAUGGGAAAGAAAGGUGAUUCUCAGAUGCGGGACUGUGAUUUUUUUUUUAACCCACUGUGGCUCAUAAACUGUCUCAGAUUUAAGGUGUGCCACCAGAGGCAAGGCUAGAUACAUCUGGAACAAAGAAAAACAGGUCCCUUGAAACAGGACUGUAGCUCAUGGCUUGUUGAAGGAGGAUGGGUGAUGGGCUCUCUGCGUCUUCAGUUCGAAUUCUUAGAUUUUUAUGCUUUAAUGCCCAGGUCUGAUAUAUCUGCUGAUGUCUCUUUAAAAUGAUUCCUUGCCUCCCAAUGUGAUGUAUGCUCAGCCAGUGGACGCCCAGGGAAUGAUUGGGUAUAGUAGAGAACAUGAAAGAUUGCAACCCUUGCUUGAAUCGAUCAAGCAUUUCAAAAAAUGCUCAUAGCCUACUUACUAUUUAUGAAAAAGGUUCCUCUGAAUAAGACAUACUUUAAUGGAGCUGCUACCAGCAGGCUCAGCUGAGGCAUGUUCGGGGACAUGCCAACAUUCUUGGGCAGCCGUUCAACACCCUACCAAGUGAAGCUGUACAGAUUGGUUUGAAGUCAGCUCUCCCCUCUUGGACCUUGGCUCCACAGGGCUUGACGGUAUCAGAAAAGGUGCGAGUGUGAUUUCCCCAGGGAGCGGGUCGCAGCUGCACAGCACAAAUGAUUUGCUUAAUGCCUAGCCGAGGGGUGGCCUUUCUCAAGGCAAACUGUCAGCUCUGCUCAUGUUUCUGAGCUGAUCCCCUUAAGUGCCUGACAGGCUCCACCACGAUUCUGAACACAGAGUGUCACAGAGAACCCAGGCGGACACAUGAAGCCUGACAGCCCAAUCUAGAUGAAAAUGAACAGCGUCUUGGGGUGGCUGUAAAUCACGUGGACUCUUUGGACCUGAUUCUUUUUUUUUUUUUUCUCCCCCCUUCCCCUUGAAAUUUUUUUUCCGGCAUUAUCUCAUGUCUCCCAUGAGGUGAUUCUGUGUGGUGCAGCGCACAAUGCAUUAGACAGCCAUGAGCCCUUCCCAUUCGAUGCCACAGUGUCCUGCCUGCUGCCUCCAUGUUCUUGACUAAAGCCUCCGUUGCCCCCCCCCCCCCCACUUCUAAAGUCUGUGUUGUGGCUCAGUGGACUCCAAAUUCCAGACCACCAGACUCCAGUCCUUCAAAAUACUGCACCCUUGUGCCAAUGUUUUGUCUUUCAUUCCUGUGAAGGACAGUGGAGUUCUUACCAGCAUCCACCCCCACCCCCAAGCUAAACCAUUUUCUUCUCACACCUAUCUUUGACACCAAGAGAGCCUUUCAGUAUCGAGUGGUUUAGUGUUAUCCCUUGCAUCCUUGAAGGUCAAGUGUCCCAUCCCUUGAUUCACCUUGGUAUGCAGAGAGCAGGCCCUUGGGGAAUGGUCCACCCCCCUCUUCUGCCACUGCAUUCAAGUUAGUGUUAGAGUCCGGUGUUCUUAGGCACAUGGACUCUCUGAUGUUCAUCACAGCCGCUUGGUAUGCAGUUGGCGCUAAAUAAGUAACUUCUCUCUAGGAGUUUAGAAGAGCCACAAAAAAAAAAAAAAAAAAAAACCAAACAGCUCUUCCGUUAGGAAACCUUGUCUCAUAUUUUCCAGCUCAGAGAGAUUAUCUUUCACUAUUGGUUUGAAAGUGAAUCGUCUCUUUAAAUCAGCAAAUAUUUACAUGUUUAAGAGAAUAUGCAUUAAUUUUAAACUAGGUGGUUGAGAAUGAAAUGGAAUAUACUUUAAAAAAAAGAAAAGAAAUUAUGUUUGGCUUUUAAAUCAGAGCUCAGGAGUAGCUCAGGAGGCGUCUGAGUGGCCCAAGUGACCUGCACUGCAGUAGCGGUGGGUGUGGCCACAUGCAACAUCUCAGAUGAGCCGUUCACCCCACCCUCUCUGUGGUGUUGCCCAACCUCCUCCCAAACCCUUUCAGUACUCAAGGAUGCUGUUACAUGGGCCUCCAUUUUAUAUUAAACCCGUCUGUGGAUGAAGUUACAUCUGUGUAUAGAGGGAAGUACAUGGCAAAAUGGCUGUGAAGAUUUUGUGCUGCUGUGGAUGGUGUUCAGCUCAGUCAGCAAGCUUAGGACAUUUGGAUUCACACUGUCUCAUGGAGGUGUUUUUAAUAGCGAGAAGGCAACACCAGUGUAACAGAGCCAAUCAAUUAUUUCCGUUCUCUAAUAAUAAAUUAUCUAAUAAAGACAAUUCCUUUCACUAAUAAUGCCUGUAUUCUGUUGACCUUGAAGAGGGUGUGUGUGUGUGUGCGCGCAUACAUAUGUACUGUUUACCCAAGAUCUUUAUCUCUCCUUCUUCUAGUAAGAGAAGAAGAGUUUACUAAUACCCAGGAGCCCCACGUGCUCAUCUUCUCCUGCUUGUAACUGGGCAAGUCUUGCAGGAAGAACAGUCAGAUAGCAUAGCAAUCAGAGGUUCGAGAAGCAGAAGAAAAGAUCAGUCAGAUAGCAUAGCAAACAGAGGUCGAGAAGCAGAAGAAAAGAUCAGUCAGAUAGCAUAGCAAUCAGAGGUUCGAGAAGCAGAAGAAAAGAUCAUCGACGGGAUCAUAUUUUCUAGAGUGAUUGAAUGACAGCAACUAAGCCAUCUCCAUGGGGGGGAUUUCAGGCUUGCCUGGGAGAGGAAAUGCCCGCCAGGCAAGCAUUCUUUCUGCCUUACUGUAAAAAAAUGCCAGGCUGGUUUGGUUGAACCAAGCCACCACAGGGAGGAUGCACAAAGUGACAUUUCAUGACUGUGCUUUCUGGGUAUUCCUGUAGGCCACUGUGCAGGGUGACGUAAUAAAAGAGCAUCCAUGUAGCAUGGCUUUGAUGAACUUUACCCUCUCAGGGGUCUCUCUGCUGGAAAUCUGAGGCCAGGUGCCAUUCAGUCAACUUCUGAAUCUUUCCAACCUGCAGACUUCUUAGGCUGCUCACUCACCCUCUCCCUAAGGCUAUGUCCCUGGCUAGCCCCCUGUCUUCCUCUAUAAUAAGACCAGCAGUAGUGCUGGUCCACGAUAUCACCUCGUGAUCACAUUUAACUACAGCCAUCUCUUGAGAACUCUAUUUCCACAAUUUGGGUAGUAGAUGGGAUGAAAUUCAGUCCACAACAGCACCCACGUGGAAAUGUUUGAUCAGGGUUCCAGCCUUACUUAGGUCCGUGUCACAGGACACACAAUGGUGAUGAUGUUCUGUCUGUUCACACGUGCUUCACUGAGCAGAUGUGGUCCGGAGUAGAGAUGAGGGCAGGUAUUAUGGGUGCCAAAGACAAGUGGAUACAGGUUGUCUGGAGGCAGAAAGGUGGAGUAGCAAAUUCUAGUUGGGGGAGGAGGUUAGGAAAGGAGAGAUGGGAAAGGAGAAAGGACUAGUCUGGAUAGGUCUUAGGAAAUUGCAUGUUUCCUAAAUGAAUGUGGUAAGAACCUUCCAGAGACAAUGCAAGGCAAGGAAAGGUUUGGAAAGUCCUGGUGUCCUUAGGGAUCUAAGCCUUAGCUUAUGUGUUUGGGAGAAGGAUCCCAGGGAUGGAUUGUGGCCAGGUAUGACAGUGGCAGAAAGGAGAGCACACAUGACUCUUUGUUCGUUUUUGUUUUUAAUGUGGAUUCUUGGGAUGAAACUUAGGCUAUAGUCUAAAAGCAGGGAAACCGUUAUUUUGGUUAGAUACCCCAACCAGGUCUGCACUGUCUAAUCUUUUGUCAACUUGGCACACAAACCAGAGUCAUCCGAACAGAGGGAAUCUCAAUAGAGAAAAUGCCUCCUUAAGAUCCAGCCAUAGGGCAUUUUCUUAAUUAGUGAUCAAAGGGUGAGGGCCCAGCCCAUUGUAGGUGGUGCCAUUCUUGGGCUGGUUGUCUUGAGUCCUAUAAGAAAGCAGGCUGAAUAAGCCAUGGGGAGCAAUCCAAUGAGCAGUGCCCCUCCAUGGCCUCUGCAUCAGCUUCUACUUCCAGGUUCCUGCCCUGUUUGAGUUCCUGCCCUGACUCUUCCUUCAAUGAUGAACAGUGAUAUGAAGUGUAAGCUAAAUAAACCAUUUUUUCCCCAACUUGCUUUUUGGUUGUGGUGUUUUAUCGAAGCAAUAGACACUAACCAAGACAAAGUCUCUCAUUUAGCACAUGGCUCUGUCUCUCUCUCUCUCUCUCUCUUUCUUUCUUUCUUUCUUUUAGAUUUAUUUAUCAUUAUAAAUAAGUACACUGUAGUUGUCUUCAUACACACCAGAAGAGGGUGUCGAAUCUCAUUAUGGAUGGUUGUGAGCCACCAUGUGGUUGCUGGGAUUUGAACUCAGGACCUUUGGAAUAGCAGUCAGUGCUCUUAACCACUGAGCCAUCUCUCCAGCCCAUGGCUCUGUUUAUUGAUAUUCCACAUCUCAUUGGACUUGGGCCAUGCUGUCCACUGUCGGUGACUUAGGAAUGGUUCUUUGAGUGUUUUUUUUUAAAGAUUUAUUUAUUAUAUAUAAGUACACUGUAGCUAUCAUCAAAAACUUUUUCUUCUCUCUCCUGCUCUUCUCUCUCCAGCCCAAAUAUUUAUUUAUUUAUUUAUCUAUUUAUCUAUGUAUUUAUUUAUUAUAUGUAAGUACACUGAGGCUGUCUUCAGACACCCCAGAAGAGGGCAUCAGAUCUCAUUACGGAUGGUUGUGAGCCACCACGUGGUUGCUGGGAUUUGAACUCAGGACCUUCGGAGGAGCAAUCAGUGCUCUUAACCACUUCUCCAGCCCCCAUUUGAGUGUUUUAUUGAUUUCUAUGUCAAAUUAGAGAAAAACAAGUACAUAGUUACAGUUCUGUGAGCUAAUAAAGGCCAUUCCAGUGAGUGGGUUUGUUUUUUAUGGAACUUCAGAACGGGAUUUCUCAUUCUUUUAGUUCAGUUACUUUUCCAUUCUGUGAACACCAUGUAACUUGCUGUAUUUAAGUUUUUUAUGGCUCCCUCUACCCCUUCCCUCACUCUUUAUUUCCCCGAUUGCAACCAGCUGAAUACAUUAUCUGUGAGAGGUAUGUUUCUUUCUUCUCUGAUGAGACCCAACUAUGUGCUCAAAUGCCAAUGCCCUUUUGGAGGAAGGCGGAGAGUGUCCGUGUCAUGAACUUCCCAUGUUGUUAAUGGCGCUAGCAUUAUGGAGUUUCUGCUGCAGGCCUGUGGUCAUGUGUCCGGAAGGCUCUAUGCUGUUUACUGAGAGUAGGGGGACCGCCAUGCCCUGAGCAGUUGCAUUGAACUUUCACUUCCACCCCCCCCUGUGUUGGGGUUUAUUCUCUGUUCCUUGUUGGACGAGUCACCUCUGAAAGGCUUUUGUUUGGUGACAGUGGUGAUUUGAGAAACGGCUUGCUGAGCUCAAUCUGGGGUUCAGUGCUUUUGUUGGACUGCAGGGACCAGGUAUCUAUCAUCAGCUGGAAGAGGUGGUACAUGCGCCGGAAGAGGCGUUCCAUCACCAUUAGAGAAGUUCCAUCUACCGGAAGAGGCAUUCCCUCCACCAGAAGAGAUGUCCCAUCCACGGAAGAAAUGUUCCAUCCACCGGAAGAGACGUUCCAUCCACGGGAAGAAAUGUUCCAUCCAUGGAAGAAGUGUUCCAUCCACGGGAAGAGAUGUUCCAUUUACCGGAAGAACUAUUCAUGGCCCUUCUACUUAGCCAUGUGCACUCCUGACGAUGGUUUUUACUUUUAUUGUUUUAAUUUUUUGUUGUUGUUCACUUCCUAGUAACCUUUGUUCAUCUUACCUUGACAAAUGCCGAUAAUGCCACGGUUAAUAAACACUAAAGAUGAUUCUGUGUCUUACCAGCCCAUAUCCGCGAAGCAGGCAUUUGGACUCCUUUUCUUCCGGUCUUUGAUUUAUGCCCGUAUUGUGUUGAACUUAACAUUUGAGUUUGUUUAUUUUACUUGAUCCUCAUCCCAUGUAAGGUGGGAUGGGGUGGACCCAAUGGGGAAGGGCCCAUGUGCCAAAGCAAUCGUGGGAGGUCAAAGGGCACUUGGUGGGCUUGGUUCUCUCUUUCUACCUUUUUGUAGAUUCUCAGAAUUCAAGUCCGAUUUCCAGACAUCUACAACAAGUGCUUUCACCUAGAGAGCGAUCUUUCUGGGUACAUAGGUAUCUAUGUUCUCUUUGUCUAUAGUUUUUUUUUUUUUUUUUACUUACAGAAUUUUACAAAAUAUUACGUCCUCAGCAUAGUCACUACCUUUUUCAAAAUCCAAAACUGAAGUGAGUGUUUUCCCCCUCUGGAGAUUUUUUCUUAUUAAUUUUAAAAAAGAAAACAGAAGACACUUUGCAUAGGUUAUUUCAUGCAUAGAAGCUUGGGGGAAGAGAAUGUGUAUAGGCUUUAAAGUGCAGCCUGGUGCAGUGCAGGCUCACAGGUGCUUCUCCACAUCUGGAAAAGCCAGAAGGCAGAAAGGAAUUUCUUUUCCUUGAACUUGGUAGCAAAUUCUGACCUGACCUGAACUCAUUUAGUAGCAAAACCCAAUCUGACCUUAUGUGAAGCUAUUUAUAGUCCAUGUUUAUCCUACAUAGUGUGAAUACUUGUGUGUUUUCCUGUGGAAAUAUUUUGCUUAUGCUGCGCUAAGACAUGUCUGGGGACGUGUAUACUAUCUGCAUGUCCUCGCUAAAGAUCUGAAAAGCUCUGUACUCAAGAGCUUGCAAGUGCUUCAGUGAGUGUGUAGUGGAGCUCUAUAGAGCUCUGGACGUGGGACAGGUAACAAACUAGUGUGGUUGUUUCCUUGGUACAUGCCAACAAAGUUGUACUCUGGUACCAGACACCAUGUCAGAGGGCCAUGAAGCAACUGAAUUCACUCUUAUAGGAACUUUUAUUUUUGCCCCUGCAAAUGUUCUAAUAGACUGUUUUUUGCUUGAUAAUAAGUCUGAACAUUUGGAUGGGUCAGUUGUGAAGAUGAUAUUAUAAAGUUUGGCCUUUUCAUGAUAAUAAAAUGCUAAUAGUAAGAAAAAUUAUCCUAAGUACCAUUCUGAGUUUCUUUCUUUUUUUUUUAUUUGAAAAUAUUGGUGUGUGUGUGUCUGUGUGUGUCUAUGUCUGUGUGCACGAAUACGUGCCCACACAUAUUUUUUUUCCUGGUGCAUGUGUCGCACAGCAUGCACAUGUGGAGGUCAGAGGGUAGCCUUUGAGAGUUGGCUUUCUCCUCUAGCUCCUUUUGAAGUAGGGUCUCUCUUGUUUCUGCCAGUUCAUGGACUCCAGGCUGGCCCACGACCUUCUGGAUGAUUCUCCUGUCCCUGUCUCCGAUCUUCCUAUAGCAGUGCUUGAUUAUAGAUGUCUGCCUCCUCUUUGGUGUUUCCGUGAGCUCUGGGGCCCCCAUCUCAGGCCAUCAGACUUGAGCAGCAAUUGUUUGUAGACACUGAGCCAUCUUGCCGGCCAAGGUUUUGAGAUUUCUCACAAUUUUUUUUUUAUUCAUUGCCAUUUCUUGAGGUCAUCCUACAUAACUUGAUACAUAUUUCCUGAAAGAAAAGAUGCAGACUUUCAGAGGAAGUUACUGUUUGACUGAAUCAUUGGACAUAAUUGCCAAAAAAUAAUGUUAAUCAAUUGCAGGUUAAUUAAUUUCCCAUAAUUACUAUACAUAAUGGCAUUUUCUGUUAUGGUUUAGAUGAAGUUUCCUGUUUUUCACACAACUUGAUUUUUUUUUUCUAGUUUUUAUUCUGUGUUUCUUGGUAUGAGACAUCAGUGAGGAGGUGACAUUCUGUGGCUCUGUUAAGGACGCCACAUCUGCAAGUUUCAUUCCAUUCCUUGUUUCUCUAUUAAUUUGCCAAUGCAGCCAUUGAAACCCAGGGGGACCUCCCAUUUCGGAGGAAUAACAUGAACAAGGCACACUGCUGUAAGUUGCGUUCAUUAUGUCUUGACAGAUGCCAAUGGACAGGGCCACCUUAGUGGUAUUCUAAGGGAAAGCAAAACUCUGAGUCAUCAAUGACCUUUAAGCACAAGAGGCGAAUCUAACAUGAAGCUCAGAACGUAUGUGAACAGGCUCCUGUGGUGGACAGCUCUGUGCUUUACUUUCAGCUGGCUUGUCUUAACUCAGACACCCGAAAGCUGUUUGUGUGCUGUUUCCACUGUGCAGGUCUUAAAUAAGGUCUCACAGUGAGAAGCUCUUUGGUAGACCUAGUGUAUUGUUUGGUUCGCCUUUGUGCUAACCACUCUCAACAAUUAUUCUUCAAGUAAAUUACUAUGCUAGGUAUAAGGAACACAUAGUGGGAACGACAGGAAAUGAACAUACAAAUUAGACAACUAGUGAUAAGCCAAUUUACAAAGAUGAGGGCCUGGGGAAAUGGCUCAUUGGUGAAAUGUUGGUAGCACAACCAAGAGGACCUAAAUUGGAUGACUAGAACCUAUUUAACAACCUGGAUGUGGUUUUUAUGGCUAUAAUUUCAUCACGGGGAAAGGGUGACAGCUGGGUCCCAGGUUUUGCUAGCCAGCCUUUCUGGCCAUUGAGAGACCCUCUUUUUACAAAAAAAAGAGGUGUGUGUAGAUAACACCCAAGGAGUAACAUCCAAGGUUGACCUCUGACCGACACAUACACAGUCCAUCACAUGCAUGCACACACAUAUACAUACCUGUACACACAUGAUCACAUGUACACCUAUACACAUGAACAUACACAGAAGACAGCAUCAACUGCUAAAAAGGGAACAAGAUUGGCGCUCACAGAAGGGACAACUUAGUUCGUUGGUGUAGCUUAAGAAAGACCUAAUUGAGAAGGUGCCCUUGAAUGGUUGCAUGAGCCCCAUCACCAGAGGAAGUUGGCCACUUGUCAACAGAUGACAUGUCAAGAGGAAGGGAGUGCUUGAAAAGACUAUGAUAUUUGGAGGAAGGAUAGCACUCAACCUCCGUGACUCUCCCUGUUGGCGAGAACCUGAGGAUUUCUUCCUACCGUGAAAAAAUUAAUUUCUUCCUCUUGGGGUUUAAGCGGGAUCAUCAGGAUUUGGAAGGCAAAGCCAACUAUUUCCAGGCGUCAGUUGGGGAUACCUGACACCUGAGUAGGAGAGCGUCCCAUGAGCUUCUGAUGGAUGCUUGGAUGGCGGUCCUUUACCUUGGUGCUUUGCGUCCUUCUUUUCUACUCACUGUUCGCCACCAUAGGCCAAGUGCAGCAGGGACUUCCCUGCAGAAACUCAUAGUCCUCAGGCCUCCACUUCGCAAUUAAUUUGCUCUUGGAGUGGAGUCUACUCAGUAAAACCAAAACGAAAAUAAGUACACACACCAGAAACUGAGACCCUGCGAUGAUGCUUAUUCAUGGUUGCUUUCUCAAAGGGUGGAUAUAUAGCUUCUGGAAUUUUCACUGCUAUAGGUCAUGAGUGUCCCUGCUCAGGGCAUCUUUGUCAUAUUUAACACAAGCAUUUUGCUUGUGUUUAAUGAAAAGUUAAGCAGUUGAAGCAAACCAAAGUGAUGCUUUGAGGAGAAGCUUGGAUUCUGUGUCAUUUGCCUGAGAGUGUUGCCUAAUCCCCGCUCCCUUAUUUGCAUAAUGCAAAUUUCUUUAUUCUUUGUGCGCAGUGAUUUCAGCACUAAAUAAUUGGCAUUUUACAAAGUGGAAAGCUCUCUGGGCUCUUACCAUUUUCUUUUGGCCACUCCUCUUUCCUGUAAAGAGGGCAGCAAAAACAUGGGCAUUGAGCCAUGGUCAUCUUAAUAUUUGUGGGAGAGAUUUUGUGUGUAAUUACAGGUAGGUAAGUGAACCCAAUAAGUGCAUCCAAAUCAAUAUUUCCCAACAGCAUCAAGGUUUUUUUCUAAAAAGCAAAAGCUCUGCAGCUCUUACUUCCCAGUUCCUAUGCUACUUCUUUUCAAAGAUGUUGAUUAGAAAUGAAACGGAUCGCCUCUUGCUACCAGUUGGAUUAUGUCUCUCAAUCUGCUGUUUGUCACUAACGGGGAGGCGGAGGAAACAGCUUGGCUACAGAUAUUUGAAGUUCCCUGUUCUGACCCACUGAGCAAAGCUCAUAUCUACAACUGUUCUCUGUGUCAUUAAGUUAGAAAAAAAUUAAACAACGUUUAUGGAGCUAGAAGAGCAGUACCAAGUUUUAGGACUCCAGCCAUCGGGAAGUCUUGAGAAAGGUGACUGUUGUUAACUCCAGGCAUGUCAAUGCGUUUUAAAUACACUGGCAUCCUUCAUUAGCGCACCAGUCCUUAACUGAGAAAUUGUCACUGUUAACAGAAUCUGCCUGUUUUAGGGUAUCUCUUGAACACAGCUGGGAGUAUAGUGUCGUCUACGUCAUUGGUGUGAGAACUACAGAAUGUUAAUCUUAGUUGUUUAGUCUCUGACAGAUUUCUACUCACUAGGCCACCUGAUGACAAAGCUUUUGAUUUCAGAUAUCCUAUGUAAGUGGCUUAUAGGCUUAUUUAGGAAUUUUUCUUGUUUGUUUGUUUGUUUGUUUUUGGAAAACAGAUGCACUGUAAUGAUUAUAUUUAUCUGCCACCUUUGAAGCUCUUCACCUUCAAGGUGAAGACUCAUCGGAACGUCUGUGAAGCAGAGGUUGUGCUGAGAGCCCAUCGUCUCUGAAUGUUGUGCUAGAAGGAGCAGAGGAUAGACUCACACGCCCGAGCUUUAAUUCUUAAGUCUCCAGGUCGUCACUGUUCAAGGACAGUCACAUUACAGGAAUUUUCCAAGCCUGUGUGUCUGUGAAAUGGAGUUACUUCCCUUCCCGCCCCGGGCAGGGGGUGGGGGGGGGGGUGGGCGGUUAAUGGCAAACUUCUCCCUUAGUUCUCAGGUAGAAGUAGGCAGCGCAAAGGGUAGAUCUUGGCAUCACUGUUAGAAGUAUGUCUAGAAGGAAUGGAGGCUACACUUUUAACUUCUCAUCCCAAAUGAGACCCUUUUGUUUAUUCAUUGAGCCUUUCUACCAUUUUCUCCUUCUCAUGAGCAUGUGUGUGAUGUGUCUGUCUGCAUGCAUGUUUUUCUCUGUGAAGUCCUGAGGUUGGCAACAGGGGGCUUCCUGAAUGGCUUUUCUACUGUAUUCUUUGAGGCAGGGCUUCUCAAUCAAACCCAGAGCUCAAAGAUAUGGCUAGCUUCCCUAGUUGGCUUGCUAGCGGAUUCCCUGCCUCUGCCUUUUGAGGCUAAAAUUACAGGCAGGCUACUACUCAGCUUUUGUUUGAGUUCUACUGAUCUGAACUCUGGCUCACUUGUUUGUACAGCAUGCUUUAAGUCCUGAGCCAGCUUCUCAGCCCCCCUUUCCACUUUAAUAAGCUCCCCAUCUUGUUUUCUCUAUAAAUCAGAAUGGCUUGUUCUACUAUGGUAACAUAAAUUUGCUCCAUUGGCUUCUUUCCUCCUUUAUAAGAAAAUCAGAAGCCGGGCAGUAGUGGUGCACGCCUUUAAUCCCAGCACUUGGGAGGCAGAGGCAGGUGGAUUUCUGAGUUCCAGGCCAGUCUGGUUUACAGAGUGAGUUCUAGGACAGCCAGGGCUACACAGAGAAACCCUGUCUCGAAAAACAAAACAACAACAACAACAAAAAAACCAUACCAAAACAAAACAAAUCAGAAAUUUAUCUUCCAAUCUCUUUAAAAAAAAACUUUUUAAAUUGUUUUAGAAAGCUGUGUAUUUACAGUUAUCUCGAGAGAAAAAUCUGAUGUGGGGACACAUUUCUAAGACAUCAAGUUGUAUAAUCAUCAAAAUUGGCAGAGAGAGUAUUAGAUAUUUGCAUGGCAUUGACUUUUGGUCAUAUGUGUCUGAUUUAGAAUAAUUGGUAAAUUAGUCCUAGAUGUGAAUUUUACACUUCAGUGUUGAAUAAUGAAGACUUUGGCCUUCUGUCUUCAUACUGUAUUUAACUAGUCAGAAGGAAGGAUACAAGGCAAGAUGUGCUCAGAUCUUGGGUUUCACGCCUGCUCAGGAAUCUCCGCACAGAGAGGGAGGGCGGUGGAACCUGAGAUGAAAAUCAGUCGCUGGGUAAUUCCCCACUGCCCUUUCUUUAUUUACAAAUCGUGUGACCCUCUGCCAACCCCAGGAGCACCUGGCACAUGUGGGGGUGCCUAUUUCAAACUGUUAAAGGAGGUACUAUUACUUUGUCACCAUUCGGGGACUAUAAGUUAAGGUCUGAGAAAACUGAACAGUUCUUAUUGAAUUUAGAUGGCAUUGGACAGAAACCUCACUUUCUAACACCUCACAUGUAAGUUCACUGGAUCCUCCUGCCCCUUGCGAUUUUUAGAGACAAUUUUCUUCCAAAGAGAUUGAGAAAAGUAGGGCAAUUGGUGGGAUUUAAGAUGUUACGAUAAUAGGUGGGAUUUGAGCUGUUAUAGUUACAGUGUAGGUGGGAUUUAAGAUGCCACAGUGUGCUUGUGGAUGGAAGUACUGAAGAAUAUUUCCAUCUCACAUCCCUGGUGUUGUAUUGUCUCUAACAGAGGUGCCAACACAUCUUAGAAGUUGGAUAUUUUUAUCAUCGAGGUGCAAAGAAAACAAGGGAUGUUUGCUAAUCUUUCUACCUUUCAAGAAGAACUUCAGUUACCAUUCUAUGAUUAUAUCUAUGAACAACAGGAAGAAACAUCUUGGAAUUUAAAAAUAUAUGCCCUAAAGUAGUUGUACAAAGAACACCUAAAAGCCACACCUUUAGUCCCAGCACUUGCAACACUUGGGAGGCAGAGGCAGGUGAAUUUUCAGCUUAGGGCUAUACAGAGAAAUCUUGUCUCGAAAAACCAAAAAAAAAAAAAAAAAAAAAAAAAGAAGAAGAAGAAGAAGAAGAAGGAAGAGGAGGAGGAGGAGGAGGAGGAGGAGAAGAAGAAGAAGAACAACAACAACAACAAGAACAAGAAGAAGAAGAAGAGGAAGAAGACCCUAGUUAGUGACGAAAACAGUAGGUCCUGUUAUGGAAGUCCCCGGUAUAAGCUACUUACUGCUAUGACAAAGUUCCUGAGCGCAAAGAUUGACUGAGGGAAGGGCUGGUUCAUCCUGGCUUCUGGUUUUUAAGGGCUAUCAUCCAUCAUUGGGGUGGGAAGUGAUAAGGGACGGGGACAAGAAUGUGCAGAGGUAGAGAUGUGAAUGCUUGUACUUACCCGCUCUCCUGCUCUUGCCCCUAGCUUUGUCUAGUCUGAGCAUCUCUCCCUACAUUUUGAGGUGGGCUUUUCUUCAGUUACACUCUGGUGAUUCUAGGUGCAGGCCAGUUGACCUGAAGGUCAGCCAUCAUAUCCCCUUGGGAAUGAUAUGAGUGUUGUUCAUAUCCAUUCUGACUUUUUUCAUUGUGACAAAUGGCAUAAGAUUCACUGUCUUCACCAUUUUAACCUGAUCGACUUAGGUACCUUCACUUCAACCACAAAGUGUAGCUAUGACUGUCUAGUUAUGGCUACCAUUUUCCCUGACACUUGCCUACAGCAGAGCCCGGUUCCCUUCAUCCCAGGCUCUAGCCACCAGCACUAUGCGUCCUUUCUCCAUAGUGUUACCCUUUCUGGAUAUGUCAUGUGAAUAAAACCAGUCUUGAGUUCAGCUUCUUGCCUUUGGGAUGUUUUGUCCUGGUUAUUUUCUCCUUGUUCAUGUGAGUAACUCUUCACUGUAUCUACUGCAGAAGUAACCUACAUUUCACCCACCUAAUCAUCCAUUGAUGCUAUGUGAGUCCUUUCUUCUUCCUCGCUGUUGUACGUAGAGAAGAAGUGUACAUUGCUGAAUGGGCUUGUUCAGAUGCCUGCCGUCUCUCUCAAAUAAGUAUCCUUUAUGGGAGAUUGCUGGCUGUGUCAUAAUUCUAGUUUCAGGUGCUUGACAGUUGACAAGCUUUUCUUCUCCAGUAGGCUUCUAUAGAGUGCUUUCUGCUAUGUUCGUGGUUUAGUAUCUUAACACUCUUCCAGUCAUUUUACCUUUUUUUUUUUUUUUUUGGAAGUUUGUCAGGUAAAAAAGAAA